UCUGUAACUCAGUGGAUAGAGUGCCGGCCUCCGAAGCCGUUGGUCGCGGGUUCAACUCCCGCCAGAUG
rnacentral:tRNA from 1 species